AUACGGAGGUUGCGAGCGUUAUCCGGAUUUAUUAGGUUUAAAGGGUGUGUAGGCGGGAGCCUAAGUCAGUGGUGAAAUCUCACAGCUUAACUGUGAAACUGCCAUUGAAACUGGGUUUCUUGAGUAUAGUUGAGGUAGGCGGAAUGUGUAAUGUAGCGGUGAAAUGCAUAGAUAUUACACAGAACACCGAUUGCGAAGGCAGCUUACUAAGCUAUUACUGACGCUGAUGCACGAAAGCGUGGGUAGCGAACAGGAUUAGAAACCCGAGUAGUCC
rnacentral:rRNA from 1 species